rnacentral:rRNA from 1 species
GACGAACGCUGGCGGCGUGCUUAACACAUGCAAGUCGAGCGGUAAGGCCCUUUCGGGGGUACACGAGCGGCGAACGGGUGAGUAACACGUGGGUGACCUGCCCUCAGCUCUGGGAUAAGCCUGGGAAACCGGGUCUAAUACUGGAUAUGACUCCAUGACGCAUGUUGUGGGGUGGAAAGCCUUGUGCGGCUGAGGAUGGGCCCGCGGCCUAUCAGCUUGUUGGUGGGGUGANGGCCUACCAAGGCGACGACGGGUAGCCGGCCUGAGAGGGCGACCGG